CCACGUCUCGCCUCUCCCGUUCAAACCUGCGUCAGGUCGUCGCCGCCGCUCCCCUCGAUCCAUUGGCUGCGCUUGAUCCCGCGGGAUCCGCCCCCCGUCGGUGCGGUAGAGAUCCACCAUGGAGGCCAUGGAGGAUGGCGGCAUGGCUCCGGGAGGCGGGGAAUGCCGGCGCUCCACAGCCAUGGCGGGUCGGCCUCCUGGGAAGAACAGAUGAAGGAGAGAGAGGAGGUGAGUUGGAGAGAAGGCACAUCUCCGGGAGGCGGGGAACGCCGGCGCUCCACGGCCAUGGCGGCUUGGCCUCCUGGAAAGAACAGACGAGGGAGAGAGAGGUGAGUUGGAGAGAAGAGAAGCAGAGCAGGGCGACACGGAUUCCUUGUUCUGGUCUGGCGACGGCUCCGGUCGGCUGAUCCAGGUAUGUGUCCCGACUCCUCUCCUCCCUGUAAAAACAGAUCGAGCAGCGGCUCUCCCGAUCCGUGCUUCACUGGGGUUGCGUGGUUAGAUCUAUAUUGCUCCUAUGAAGGCGUUGGUGCAGGAGAAGAUGCGCGACUGGAAAGUGAAGCUGGGCUCGUUGGGGAUAAAUUGCUUGGAGAUGACAGGUGAUAGCGAAUACUGCAAAGGCCAUACAUGAUUCCGAUUUGAUCCUCACCACUCCUGAGCCCAUGGAUAACCACUGUUGCUGCUGGAGAUGAUGACUGCAGAUACAAGAAUCAUUUGAUACUAGGAAAUGGAAAGCGUAUUGGUAGACUUGGAGUACCACCUGCAACACAUGGAAAUAAAUCAUUUGGCCUGAUUUCUGCUACUGAUGCUCUGUUGGGUCUAUCUUCAACCAAGUACAGUGCGCUAGAUUGUCAAGGCCAGAACUCUUAAAUAAGAGGAAAGUUCAGGGGAAAAUUCUGUUGUGUGGCUAUUCUUUUAAUUAUAUUUCUGGGACAGCUUCAAUCAAGAAAGUGUCUCAAACAGCCACGAGUCUAGGUGCUGCUGGCUUUGUUGUUGUUGUAGAAGAUAGUUACCCAGGGACAAAGUUUGAUCUUGUGCCUGUCAAUAUUCCUGGGAUUCUCAUCACAGAUGUCAGCAAAACAAAGGAUCUUAUAGACUACUACAACUCUUCUACAACAAGAGACUGGGCUGGACGGGCUACAACGUUCCAAGCAACAGUCGGUAUCGCAAAUGGUUUGGCACCAACAUUGUUCAAUUCAGCUCCCUAGGUCGCGUUGUUCUCUUCCCGAGGGCCUAAUGUAAAAGGUUUUAGCUUUCAAGAUGCUGAUGUUGUUAAACCUGAUAUACUCGCUCCUGGAAAUCUUAUAUGGCCUGCGUGGGCGCCUAAUGGAACACAUCAAGCAAACUACGCCGGUUAUGCUCCAGCGAAAAAUGACUUCCUCUUCAAGAGAGUACGCAUAAUUCCUGUCCUAUAAUGUUUGUUUUUUCGAAAUUCUAGGGCCGGAUUAAGGACGGGUGUUCGGAUAUAUUCUAUCAUACUUUAUGCACAACAUUUUCUUCUAAAAAUAUUGGACACUGUUUGGAUAAUUUUUUAAAACUUAAUUUCCUUUGUUUCUUUCACUUUCAGAGGCUACAAAGUUUCAUUUUCGGUAAGUCAUAUCUCCUCAUCUGUCAAUUACACUGCCUACUGCCCAUAAGUUAAAUUGUCAAAAUUGAAGUGCUCAAAAUAGAAAGUGAAUAUUGUAUACAGAUAUACUGAUGAAACAUUCAAGAGGGAAGUCUGCACUUGUUUUCUGUUCUACAAGAAAAGGUGCACAAGAAGCAGCACGGUGCCUCUCACAAACUGCAGGGUCUCUUGGCUAUUCAAAUCCAUUCAUGAAAUCUAUGUAGCAGUAUGAACAUCUACGAGAGGCUUCCUUAACCUGUAGUGACAAGCAGCUGCAGUCUUGUAUCGUACAUGGAG